rnacentral:SRP_RNA from 1 species
CCCUCAAAAGGUGUGUGUGGUAUCAGGUACUCAGGGGGCUGAGGUGGGAGGAUCUCAUAAGCCCAGGAGUUCUCACUACAGCCCAGGCUGUAGUGUGCUAUGCCUGUCGGGUGUCCGCACUAAAUUUAGCAUCAAUAGGGUGACCUCCUGGGAGCAGGGACCACCAGGUUGCCUAAGGAUGGUUGACAUGGCCUGGGACCAAAUGGAGCAGAUCAAAACUCUUGUGCUGAUCAGUAGUAGGAUAUGCCUGUGAAUAGCCAGUACACUGUGGCCUGGGCAACAUAGCAAGACCCCGUGUCU